CACUGACGAGUUUGAUCAUGGCUCAGGAUGAACGCUAGCGGCAGGCCUAACACAUGCAAGUCGAGGGGCAGCACGUCUUCGGAUGGUGGCGACCGGCGCACGGGUGCGUAACGCGUAUGCAACCUACCUUUAACUGGAGCAUAGCCCCGAGAAAUCGGGAUUAAUACUCCAUAACAACAAGAAGUGGCAUCACUUUUUAUUUAAAGCUUUGGCGGUUAAAGAUGGGCAUGCGUGACAUUAGUUAGUUGGUGAGGUAACGGCUCACCAAGACUUCGAUGUCUAGGGGUUCUGAGAGGAUUAACCCCCACACUGGUACUGAGACACGGACCAGACUCCUACGGGAGGCAGCAGUGAGGAAUAUUGGUCAAUGGGCGCAAGCCUGAACCAGCCAUGCCGCGUGAAGGAUGAAGGCCUUAUGGGUUGUAAACUUCUUUUAUACGGGAAUAAACUUAGUUACGUGUAACUAACUGCAGGUACCGUAUGAAUAAGCACCGGCUAACUCCGUG
rnacentral:rRNA from 1 species